rnacentral:rRNA from 1 species
UAGGGAAUCUUCGGCAAUGGGGGCAACCCUGACCGAGCAACGCCGCGUGAGUGAAGAAGGUUUUCGGAUCGUAAAGCUCUGUUGUAAGAGAAGAACGUGUGUGAGAGUGGAAAGUUCACACAGUGACGGUAACUUACCAGAAAGGGACGGCUAACUACGUGCCAGCAGCCGCGGUAAUACGUAGGUCCCGAGCGUUGUCCGGAUUUAUUGGGCGUAAAGCGAGCGCAGGCGGUUUAAUAAGUCUGAAGUUAAAGGCAGUGGCUUAACCGUUGUGCGCUUUGGAAACUGUGGAGCUUGGGUGCGGAGGGGGGGGGUGGAAUUCCAUGUGUAGCGGUGAAAUGCGUAGAUAUAUGGAGGAACACCGGUGGCGAAAGCGGCUCUCUGGUCUGUAACUGACGCUGAGGCUCGAAAGCGUGGGGAGCAAACAGG